CAGAUUUUCUGUUUUCCUCACCCCAAAUCACACAGAGACUGUGGAGUCUUCAUAAGCCCUCCGACAGGUGGACAGGAGCCUGCCGUGAAAAACCAUGUGUGGGUCACGCAAUUUCCCGGUUCUCCUAUUCCCUUUCUGCUAAACCCCCAACAGCUGUCCCAUGUGGGCCGGGGCCAUGAUUUGAUCUGCACCCACCAACUACUGAUCUUCUCUUGGGAGGACCCAAAAUGAUUUACCAAUUCAGCACAAGCAGGUACACAGCGCCCCAACCAAUGAGAAUAUGCUGCAGCCGGGCUGCAUUAUUUAUCGCCAUGGUAACCAUACCGACAGAACUGGGACGCAGGCUUCUCCGUGCCGUACUUUGAUGCCCCGCCUUCCUACCUACAUGAGAACGUUUCCUCUUUUUAUUAUCUUGUGCCUAUCGCUCAAAAUGGAAACUGACUGAGGAAUACACGCACAGCCAUCGCAGUUUGCAUCCCCGGGGCCCGGCUGUCAGUGCGCAUACAUUCUGUUUACUGUCACACAAUGACAUUUGGGCCCCAUGGUGGGCUCUGGUUGCGUGAGUUUGUUUGUUUCUCCUCCUAAUUACUUGUUGAGUAUCACCAGCAAAAGUAAAAGCAGAAUUGUUUUAUUCAGCAAUGUUUUUGUGAAAAUUUGAGAA